rnacentral:rRNA from 1 species
CGGCGGACGGGUGAGUAACGCGUGGGUAACCUACCCUGUACACACGGAUAACAUACCGAAAGGUAUGCUAAUACGGGAUAAUAUAUUUGAGAGGCAUCUCUUGAAUAUCAAAGGUGAGCCAGUCCAGGAUGGACCCGCGUCUGAUUAGCUAGUUGGUAAGGUAACGGCUUACCAAGGCGACGAUCAGUAGCCGACCUGAGAGGGUGAUCGGCCACAUUGGAACUGAGACACGGUCCAA